rnacentral:lncRNA from 1 species
UAUCGACCGUUCUAUCUCAACUCUUAAGCCAUGUUUGGUUGGGGAACAACGGCGGGGAUAAGGGGUUAUCCCCGCCUUGUUCUCCAAACAUUAUUUUUAAGGGUGGGAACUAGCUAUUUUCAUUCUUAACUAGGAUAAUCCGUUAAGAGUGGGAAUAGCUAGUUCCCACCCUUAAGUGGAAUAGGGGUGGGAACAAGUAAUUCCCACCCCUAUUUUUUUUAAGGGGAACAAAUUUUAAUUUUAAUUUUAGUUUUAAAAAUUUAUAAUUGGUAAUUUCAAAAUUCAAGUUUAUAGUUUUAAAUUUUAAUAUUAAAUUUUAUAUUUUUUAAUAUAAAUUUGAUAUUUAUAUUUUAAAAUUUAAAUUUGAU